CGCUUGCGGGGGUGAUUAGUGGCGAACGGGUGAGUAAUACGUGAGUAACCUGCCCCUGACUCUGGGAUAAGCCUGGGAAACCGGGUCUAAUACUGGAUACGACCUCCCAUCGCAUGGUGGGGGGUGGAAAGGGUUUACUGGUUUUGGAUGGGCUCACGGCCUAUCAGCUUGUUGGUGGGGUAAUGGCUCACCAAGGCGACGACGGGUAGCCGGCCUGAGAGGGUGACCGGCCACACUGGGACUGAGACACGGCCCAGACUCCUACGGGAGGCAGCAGUGGGGAAUAUUGCACAAUGGGCGGAAGCCUGAUGCAGCGACGCCGCGUGAGGGAUGACGGCCUUCGGGUUGUAAACCUCUUUCAGUAGGGAAGAAGCGCAAGUGACGGUACCUGCAGAAGAAGCGCCGGCUAACUACGUGCCAGCAGCCGCGGUAAUACGUAGGGCGCAAGCGUUGUCCGGAAUUAUUGGGCGUAAAGAGCUCGUAGGCGGUCUGUCGCGUCUGCUGUGAAAGCCCGGGGCUCAACCCCGGGUCUGCAGUGGGUACGGGCAGACUAGAGUGCAGUAGGGGAGACUGGAAUUCCUGGUGUAGCGGUGAAAUGCGCAGAUAUCAGGAGGAACACCGAUGGCGAAGGCAGGUCUCUGGGCUGUUACUGACGCUGAGGAGCGAAAGCAUGGGGAGCGAACAGGAUUAGAUACCCUGGUAGUCCAUGC
rnacentral:rRNA from 1 species